rnacentral:misc_RNA from 1 species
GCCAAAGUAUUUGACAUAGCAUAAACCUCAUCUAUGCUAGAUCGAAGUAGUUGUUACAACACAAAGACGACGAUUUUACCAAAGAAUAAGAAAAGGUGCCUAACGCGUAACCAUGGACAGCUGGGAUAGAGUCACUGCUACUGCUAUUUAAGUAGAAGAGAGACAUGGAAUUCCGCUACUUUUUUAUGUUCCAAGCAUGAGAUGACCGUGGUGCUGUUGUGAUUCCUUCGUAGUAUUGGAUGUCAAGCUUUCCCUUGUUCCAUUCUUUGACAAAGUCGGAAAAUAAAUCACGAGCA